ACCAGGCAUAGUGGCAUGCACCUAUAGUCUCAGCUACUCAGGAAGCUGAGGCAGGAAGAUCUCUUGAGUCCAGGAGUUCUAAGCUGUGUCUACUGUGUUGAUCAGGUAUCUGCAACACAUCUAUCAUCAAUAUGGUGUCUGCUCAGGAGCAGGAAACCACCAAGUUACCUAAGGAGGGCUGAACUGGCUCAGGUCAGAAACAGCAGGUCAAAACUGAUCAGUGGUGGGAGCGAGCUUGUGAAUAGCCAGUACACUCUAGCCUGGGCAACAUAGCAAGACCCCAUCUGU
rnacentral:SRP_RNA from 1 species